UACGUAGGUGGCGAGCGUUGUCCGGAUUUAUUGGGCGUACAGCGCGCGCAGGUGGUGCGGUAAGUCUGCCGUGAAAUCUCCCGGCUCAACUGGGAGGGGGCGGUGGAGACUGCCGGACUAGAGGGACUCAGAGGCCGGUGGAAUUCCCGGUGUAGUGGUGAAAUGCGUAGAGAUCGGGAGGAACACCAGUGGCGAAGGCGGCCGGCUGGGGGUGCCCUGACGCUGAGGCGCGAAAGCGUGGGGAGCGAACCGG
rnacentral:rRNA from 1 species